GAUGAACGCUAGCGGCAGGCCUAACACAUGCAAGUCGAGGGGUAACUAGAGUGAUAGCAAUAUUACUUUGGCUAGACCGGCGCACGGGUGCGUAACACGUAUGCAACCUACCUUAUACUGGGGAAUAACUUCGAGAAAUCGGCGCUAAUACCCCAUAACAUUGCGAAGAGGCAUCUCUUUGCAAUUAAAGCUCCGGCGGUAUAAGAUGGUCAUGCGUCCAAUUAGCUAGUUGGUGAGGUAACGGCUCACCAAGGCUACGAUUGGUAGGGGUUCUGAGAGGAUGAUCCCCCACACUGGUACUGAGACACGGACCAGACUCCUACGGGAGGCAGCAGUGAGGAAUAUUGCGCAAUGGACGAAAGUCUGACGCAGCCAUGCCGCGUGCAGGAUGACGGCCCUAUGGGUUGUAAACUGCUUUUGUACGGGAAUAAACCCUUCUACGUGUAGGAGGCUGAAGGUACCGUAAGAAUAAGCACCGGCUAACUCCGUGCCUGCCGCCGCCGUAAUAC
rnacentral:rRNA from 1 species